rnacentral:rRNA from 1 species
UAGGGAAUCUUCCGCAAUGGGCGAAAGCCUGACGGAGCAACGCCGCGUGAGUGAUGAAGGUCUUCGGAUCGUAAAACUCUGUUAUUAGGGAAGAACAAAUGUGUAAGUAACUAUGCACGUCUUGACGGUACCUAAUCAGAAAGCCACGGCUAACUACGUGCCAGCAGCCGCGGUAAUACGUAGGUGGCAAGCGUUAUCCGGAAUUAUUGGGCGUAAAGCGCGCGUAGGCGGUUUUUUAAGUCUGAUGUGAAAGCCCACGGCUCAACCGUGGAGGGUCAUUCGAAACUGGAAAACUUGAGUGCAGAAGAGGAAAGUGGAAUUCCAUGUGUAGCGGUGAAAUGCGCAGAGAUAUGGAGGAUCACCAGUGGCGAAGGCGACUUUCUGGUCUGUAACUGACGCUGAUGUGCGAAAGCGUGGGGAUCAAACAGG